rnacentral:rRNA from 1 species
GACGAACGCUGGCGGCGUGCUUAACACAUGCAAGUCGAACGAGUGGCGAACGGGUGAGUAAUACGUGAGUAACCUGCCCUCUUUUUGGGAUAAGCCUUGGAAACGGGGUCUAAUACCGGAUAAAGGGGGAUGGGCUCGCUGCCUCUCAGCUUGUUGGUGGGGUGAUGGCCUACCAAGGAGGUGACGGGUAGCCGGCCUGAGAGGGUGAACGGACACAUUAGGACUGAGAAACGGCCCAGACUCCUACGGGAGGCAGCAGUGGGGGAUAUUGCACAAUGGGCGAAAGCCUGAUGCAGCGAAGCCGCGUGGGGGAUGAAAGCUUUCGGGUUGUAAACCGCUUUCGCUAUCGAACGAGUAGGUGGAGGAGAAGCGCCGGCUAACUACGUGCCAGCAGCCGCGGUAAUAC